GGCAGACAGAAUGUGCGUGCUCCGAAGGCUGUGAGGGGCAGGCACAGCUGGAAGGGGGAAGGGAAGGGACGCCUCCUGCUGAUUCUACGGAAUCCUGAGGCUUGUCGGGAGAUCAGAACCGAUCGAGGGAGUUCUGGCUUAGUUUGACAAAGUUAGCGACAGAAGUGAGGACUUGAGGAGACUUGAGCCCAGGGAGUGGGACAAAGGGACUCCCUUGCGUGGCUACCUGUCCAUUCACAAUGGCCUCCAUUCAUAAAGAGGGCUUUGGAGGAUCUUGAAAUUCCACUUAGUGCCCUAUGGGACCACAGAACUCUGGUCUAACCACUGAAUUUUCUAGUCUAUUCGUCUGCUCUUACCUUCAACAAUGUAAGAUUGCUGCUAAAAAUCAUGGGACUGCAUCUUCCCAGACUUAAAUUUAACUAGAAGGAGGAGG